rnacentral:rRNA from 1 species
UACGAAGGGGGCUAGCGUUGUUCGGAAUUACUGGGCGUAAAGGGUUUGUAGGCGGUUGAACAAGUCAGUGGUGAAAGCCCAGAGCUUAACUCUGGAAUUGCCAUUGAAACUGUUCAGCUUGAGAGUGUUAGAGGAAAGUGGAAUUCCUAGUGUAGGAGUGAAAUCCGUAGAGAUUAGGAGGAAUAUCGAUGGCGAAGGCAGCUUUCUGGGACAUUUCUGACGCUGAGAAACGAAAGCGUGGGUAGCAAACAGGG